rfam:Musca domestica strain aabys unplaced genomic scaffold Scaffold20311, whole genome shotgun sequence.
CUAACAGCCCUUUUCAGGGCUACAAAUAUAAUUAAAAAUGAGACA